rnacentral:rRNA from 1 species
UACGUAGGGUGCAAGCGUUGUCCGGAAUUACUGGGCGUAAAGAGUUCGUAGGCGGUUUGUUGCGUCGUUUGUGAAAACUCACAGCUCAACUGUGAGCCUGCAGGCGAUACGGUCAGACUUGAGUACUGCAGGGGAGACUGGAAUUCCUGGUGUAGCGGUGAAAUGCGUAGAUAUCGGGAGGAAUACCGAUGGCGAAGGCAGGUCUCUGGGCUGACACUGACGCUCAUGCACGAAAGCGUGGGGAGCAAACAGG